UACAGAGGGGGGCAAGCGUUGUUCGGAAUUACUGGGCGUAAAGGGCGCGUAGGCGGCCUGUUAAGUCGAACGUGAAAUCCCCGGGCUCAACUCCGGAUCUGCGGUGGGUACGGGCAGACUAGAGUGAUGUAGGGGAGACUGGAAUUUCUGGUGUAGCGGUGAAAUGCGCAGAUAUCAGGAGGAACACCGAUGGCGAAGGCGGCAUCCUGGACCGGCAUGACGCUGAGGAGCGAAAGCCAGGGGAGCAAACGGG
rnacentral:rRNA from 1 species